rnacentral:sRNA from 1 species
CUAUAAAAUUACAAAAUAUUUAGACAAUAAUUCAUAAACAUAUUAUAAAUAAGAUCAAUAUUAAUAAAAUAAAUGGUUUUUUUACGGGACGGAUUGGCGGGAGGGGUUUGGCAGGACGUUACUUAAUAACAAUUGUAAACUAUAAAAUAAAAAUAUUUUAUAGAUAGAUACAAUUUACAAACUUUUAUGUAUACUAACUUUUAAAAAUAUAUUGUUCUUGCGGUACACCGCGGGUUAAAAUCUAGUUACUUCAUUAAUUGUGUAAACAUUACGGAAGCCUUCUUUUUGGUCAGAGUAUUAUG